AAUAAAGAUUAGAAAUUUAGAAAAUAUUUCCCCAAAUCAUAAACCCUUAUUAUUUUCUCCAAUUCUUCCGCGAAAUCUCCAUCUCCAAUCUGAUCAUCUUCCAUCUCCAAUCCGACCAUCUUCCGGCCUCGUCACCAUUCGCCCCUACUCCUGGCCGUCUAUUCACUCUGGCGUGGCCAUCUAUUCGCUCCGAUGUGUCCAUCGUUUUCGUCUUCUCCGGCGCUGCCAUUCGUGCCCGCCGUCACCUUCUCUGCCGGAUUCAAUAUUUAACAAAAACGUCUACAUGCUAGCAAGGUUUGAUUUUCUCCAUUUUUCUUUGAAUUGGUGCUUACCUAGUGAUUUUAAGAUAUGAUUUGGAGUAGUUGUGUAAAUGACUGAUAAUUUGUGGGGAUUUUCACUUAAUACAUUUAGGAUUUUCGUUAGGUUUUAUCUUGUUGUACUGUGGACGGAGGAAGAACAUAAGUUUUCCUUGUUGGGAUUACAACAAGAUUUCUUGAUUGAUAGGAUUUUGGAAUCAUGCAGAAAAGUUGAAGUAUUCUCUUAUUUAUUUCUUGAAAUCUUCUAAAAAAGAACAUCAUCAAUCAAUUCUAUCUUGAAACUUAAACAAGAUUUUUUUUUGUGAGAUUAUGAGAAAAUAUGAUAUUAGUUUGUGCUUGUAAGGUGUUUGACGAUAUGUGUCUGAAGCUUUAAAAGUUUUUUUCUUUUUCUUUUGCAUUGUGCGAGUGUGUUUUAUGAUCUGAUUGUUACACACACUGAAACCUAUUUUUAACUUAAUAUAUUAGACUUGUUGUAAUGAAGUUUAGUUUGGCAAUUGGCAAUUCACCAUUUAGAAAAUUGUUUGAUUUGUUUUUAUUGUGCUAGUUGCUGUCAUUUUGCAGUUUGCACAAGUAUUUGUAGCCAAGUCAUGUCAAUUCAUCUAUAUGGUGCAUAAUGGUUUUUUAGUGUACACUUUUCACCCCUCUUUCCUCCUUUUGGAUAGAAGUUGCUCAAAAUGUUCAAUCUCGUGAAUUAAUUGUUUCCCUGUUUUCAUAGGCAGGAAGCGUGGAUGUUCAAUUAUAUAUACGUUUGUUUAUGAGCUAUUUUUGAUACCCUGAAAUCAUUUGAUUCAUAGACCUAAUAUCUUUUAUGCUAUGAGUUGGUCUAAAUGUAUAUUUUGUUGUCUCCAUUAGACUGAGGAUCCACUAUCUUUUCAUUGUAGAUAAUAUAUGGGUCCUCGAAAAUGUUCUGCUCAGUUUUCCUGAUAAUUUAUGUUCCAGACUUAUGAUGGAAUGAUUAUUGGAGAACAUUCUAGGGAAUCAGAUCUAGAUGUAAGUUGAGAACUUUAUGUUUAGACUUUGGAUCGAAGUUGUAAUUUCUACUUGAUUUACAUGGUAAGCAAUUUUCUUUUUUCUAGGUUAAUCUUGUAAGAACUAAAGAAAACUUACCAAUAUCUGUUCUGCUUGCAAAGAUGAAAACUGAAGCUAUCUCCACCUCGACUUGGAGAUGGAUCUCAUGCUAGUUCCUUAUUCCUCAGAUCCCAACCUAAAAAUAAUCCAAAUGCCUCCCUUUUUACUAGCCAGCAAGAUGAGUACAUGAAAUGUGAAGUGAUAGAGUGCUGUGAAUCUUUAAAAAAUGUACUAAAUGUUCUGGCAGUUGGAGAAAAUGAGAAAAGGAUGUUAACUUAUGGAAGCUCAUUCGGGACUUCGAUCUCCAUGGAAUUAGAACAUCAGUUUCAAUAUUGUAGACCAAGUGGAUGUUACGGUGAUGCUGUUAUUAUACAUUUGUGCUCUGCUAUGUAGUUGUUUCUCUUAUUGACGCAUGUAGUGAUAGGUUCAACUGAAGUCGACAACUUCAUAAGUUUACUUUCAAAGAACAUUUUCAGAGAUGAACAUUCUCGGUUGGUCGUUUAUGCUUCUGCAGAAAAUCUUGUUAGAUGUAUUCUAAUGCUAUUUAAAAUAUUUUUUGAUUAAGGGU